rfam:Macrostomum lignano uti_cns_0006058, whole genome shotgun sequence.
UUCAGAAGUGGUAAUCUAAGGUCACUCACAAAUAUUUCAGGCAUGCUAGUGGGCGCCCUCUGCGCCCUCACAGGAGUGCUGACCAUCGCGCUGCCUGUGCCGGUCAUCGUGUCCAAC